rnacentral:RNase_P_RNA from 1 species
GGCAGAGGGAGCCGAGUUCCCGCGAGGGCGCGGCCUCGCCGCGCCCCCGUGAGGAAAGUCCCCCCACCGUUCGGGCAGGCGACCGGACGCAAGUCCGGAGCGGGAGACCGCUGGCUCUGGAACAGAAACGAGACCCCUCUCCCCGACCGAUGAGGUGCGCGAAUCCCGACCCGAGACGGCUCACGCCGAGGAAAGGAACGGAGAGUUGACCCACCGAGGGACAGCGUCCCGGCAUUGCCGGCACGCGGACGGGAGAGAACGGAUGGAACGGCGAAUCCUCGCCGGUGCAAGUCCACGCCGCGAUGCGCGGCGUUUCGACGCCGUGCAUCGUCAAGGUAGCCCGGACGACGGCGCGGACGCUCAGCCGAAUACUCGGACGAACAGAAGGGGGCUUACUCCCCUCAGCC